AUGUGCUCAGGAUGGACCUAUGUUCGUACCAUUGAUGUCUCAGUGCCCCUCCUGGUCAGGUGUCCAGAGACCUCUCACUUUUAUCAUGUCCAUUAUUCCCAGCAACCCUGCAGACUCAUCCAAGAUCAACUGCAGAGGAAGAGGAGGGAAAUUUUAAAUGGGAACAAUUAUCUGAAAAAUACAAUAGAAGGCAACUGGAAAAGAGGCAAAGAUUCUAACUACAUACUGCAGAAAAAAUAUUCACACCUGUCAAAUUCCAACAGCUGGCGUUAUUGUUGUUCUAUGGAUAAGCACACACAGAAUCCUCGUGGAUAGUUCU
rnacentral:lncRNA from 1 species